GAAAGAGAGAGAGGCAGUGUGGGCUGUUGUGCUGGGAGGACACAUCCUAAUGCGACAGGGCUGCAGCUUUGCCAAAGCAUCUUGCGUGGAGGGACACAGAGAGAGAGAGAGAGAGAGAGGGAAAGGACGAGGGACAUCUCCAGAGGACAGCACUGCAGUGCCUGCCGCGUACAGCCAGAGACCCCAUCCAUUCCCCCGUGCAUCAGAACCCGACGCCGCGAGGAGGACGCCGGCACUCUGCCACUAAUUAAGGUAGGAUUCUCGAGGACAGGCCCAUUCCAGCGGUGGGGUGUGGUUUUGGAGUGAGGAUG